GACAGAGGUGCCGAGCGUUAGGCGGAAUCACUGGGCUUAAAGCGUGUGUAGGCGGGGGCCUAAGUACCUUGUGAAAUCCCACGGCUCAACCGUGGAACUGCUCGGUAUACUGGGUGCCUUGAGCCAACUAGGGGCGACCGGAACAAACGGUGGAGCGGUGAAAUGCGUAGAUAUCGUUUGGAACGCCGAUGGUGAAAACAGGUCGCUGGGGUUGUGCUGACGCUGAGACACGAAAGCCAGGGGAGCGAACGGG
rnacentral:rRNA from 1 species